GCCGGGCGCAGUGGCGUGUGCCUGUACUCCCAGCUACUCAGGAGGCUGAGGCUAGAGGAUCUCUUGAGUCCAGGAGUUCUGGGCUGUAGUGCGCUGUGCCGAUCAGGUGUCCGCACUAAGUUCAGCAUCAGUAUGGUGACCUCCCAGGAUCGGGGGACCACAAGGUUGCCUAAGGAGGGGUACCAGCCCAGGUCCGAAACAGAGCAAGUCAAAACUCCCGUGCUGAUCAGUAGCGGGAUCGCACCUGUGAAUAGCCACUGCACUCCAGCCUGGGCAACAUAGUGAGACCCCAUCUCU
rnacentral:SRP_RNA from 1 species